GCUGGGUGUGUUGGCACACACCUGUAAUCCCAGCAGCUCAGGAGGCUGAAACAGGAGGAUCAGGAAUUCAAAGUCAGCCAGCCUCAGCAAGGAUGAGGCACUAAGCAAUUCAGUGAGACCCUGUCCCUA
rnacentral:sRNA from 1 species